CGCCACGCCAGCAGAACAAAUCUGACAUCUCUCUGACCUUGAGAGAGAAAAGAGAAGAGAAGAGAGAGAGAAAGAAGCAGAUGAAAGCAAUGGAAUUUUGUGUUUUGAUUCGUAGUUUCUUCUUCCUCAGGAGAGGAACAUAGCAUAUAGUGGGGGAAAUGGGGAGGUGAGUUCCUGUUGAAGCCGCAGGCUGCACAGGAACAAAAGAGAACAAAUAAAAAAGACUCCCAAAAAACUGAAACUUUUCUUUGUGCAGAUAUAAACUCAUCUUUUAUCUGUCGGUUCAUGAAUUGGGGGUUUUCUCAUUUCCUCAUAGUUGAAUUUAUUUGGGUUCAAAAUUGAAUUUUGAACCAUUUUUGGGAAAAAGAAGGAGAAUUGGG
rnacentral:misc_RNA from 1 species